rnacentral:rRNA from 1 species
UGGUGGAGUAAUAGCCUACCAAGGCAAUGAUCUAUAGCUGAUCUGAGAGGAUGAUCAGCCACACUGGAACUGAGAUACGGUCCAGACUCCUACGGGAGGCAGCAGUGGGGAAUAUUGGACAAUGGGCGAAAGCCUGAUCCAGCCAUGCCGCAUGAGUGAAGAAGGCCUUUGGGUUGUAAAGCUCUUUUAGUGAGGAAGAUAAUGACGGUACUCACAGAAGAAGUCCUGGCUAACUCCGUGCCAGCAGCCGCGGUAAUACGGAGAGGGCUAGCGUUAUUCGGAAUUAUUGGGCGUAAAGGGCGCGUAGGCUGAUUAAUAAGUUAAAAGUGAAAUCCCGAGGCUUAACCUUGGAAUUGCUUUUAAAACUAUUAAUCUAGAGAUUGAAAGAGGAUAGAGGAAUUCCUGAUGUAGAGGUAAAAUUCGUAAAUAUUAGGAGGAACACCAGUGGCGAAGGCGUCUAUCUGGUUCAAAUCUGACGCUGAAGCGCGAAGGCGUGGGGAGCAAACAGGAUUAGAUACCCUGGUAGUCCACGCUGUAAACGAUGAAUGUUAAAUAUGGGAAGUUUACUUUCUG